AUACGUAGGGGGCGAGCGUUGUCCGGCAUGAUUGGGCGUAAAGGGCGCGUAGGCGGCCCGGUAAGUCUGGAGUGAAAGUCCUGUUUUUAAGAUGGGAAUUGCUUUGGAUACUGUCGGGCUUGAGUGCAGGAGAGGUAAGUGGAAUUCCCAGUGUAGCGGUGAAAUGCGUAGAGAUUGGGAGGAACACCAGUGGCGAAGGCGACUUACAGGACUGUAACUGACGCUGAUGCUCGAAAGUGUGUGGUGCAAAAAGGAUUAGAUACCCUGGGAGUCCACAUUGUAAACGGUGAAUGCUAGGUGUAGGUGGUAUCGACCCCUUCUGUGCCGCAGUCAACACAAUAAGCAUUCCGCCUGGGGAGUACGGCCGUAAGGUUGAAACUCAAAGGAAUUGACGGGG
rnacentral:rRNA from 1 species